UUUUUAGUAUAAAUAAGUCCAUGCAAUAUUUGGGACAUACUUAUUUUUAAA
rnacentral:miRNA from 1 species